AUCACUUCUAGGACUUUUGGCUAAGAUCAAGUGUAGUAUCUGUUCUUACCAUGUUAGAUCUACCAAAAUGAGGACAUACGGGCUAGAUAUAGAGUGUGGAUAUUAAGAAUAUGGGUUUUGGCUUCAGAUAGUUCUGGGUUCAAAUCCCAGAUCAAACAACUCCUAGCUGUGCAAUCUUGGGGAAAUCACUU
rfam:Canis lupus familiaris chromosome X, whole genome shotgun sequence.